GUUGAGUAAACUCUCCCACUCACGAAAACAUUCUAUAGCAAAAUUAAUGCAUUUGGACUGAGUUUGAAUCGAAUCUUCCUGGCUAAGAGCCAGAUUCUGACUACAUCCGUCAGCUAUGAUUAUUGGGUUCCCCAGCCCAUAGCAAAUUGAACAUGGGUUGGGGCUGCUAAGGGCAGCUACUCCGAGGACAAUAGAAGAGAAGCCACGAGUUAGAGUUAGACUGCUGGAAAACCUAUGUGAGAGAUAAAGGAACUCCAGCAAAUAUACUUAUUGGGAAUAUUUGGCAUAAAACCAGAGUCCUACACAGUUAUUUGGAUGAAAUGCUUAUUUCUUUUUUAACAUAAGCAUUGACUGGAAAUAUUGGUUAUUCUGUCUGAUAUUACAUGAAGGUCAGAUGCCCUCCAUGCAACCAUGAGGUCGGAUGGCAGUUUGAUGCUGAACCAGCAAACAAGCCUACUCAGCAUGAAACUAUGAGUAUAAAAACCUUUAUGAUGACCUACCUCCACUUGGAUCAAUGAAGAGAAGAAGAGUUGUGGACAUAGACACAUACAGAGAGAAGACCAUGUGAAGUCACAGGGAGAAGACAGCCACCUACAUACCAAGGAGAGAGGCUGUACAAGAAACCAACCCUGAUGACACCUUGAUCUUGGACUUCCAGCUUCCAGAUUUACAGGAAAAUAAAUUUCCGUUGUUUAAGCCACACAGUCUAUGGCAUUUUGUUAUGGCAGUUCUAGCAAACUAAUAUACAGCCUAUAUCAUAUACUACUCAGUUUGACUACUUUUAUUUUGGAACAUAUUAUACUUUUGCUACUUUUGCUUAUGCAGUUUCUUUUGCUUAGUGUCCCUUGCUAGUAGAUAUUUAUAUUUAAAGAUAUUUUAGGCCUGGCACAGUGGCUCACACCUGUAAUUCCAACACUUUGGCAGGCUGAGGUGAGUAAAUCACUUGAGGCCAGGAGUUUGAGAUCAGCCUGGCUAACAUGGCGAAACCCCUUCUCUACUAAAAAAUACAAAAGUUAGCUGGGCGUGGUGGCGGGUGCCUGUAAUCCCAGCUACUUGGGAGGCUGAGGCAGGAGAAUGGCGUGAACCUGGGAGGCGGAGCUUGCAGUGAGCCGAGAUUGUGCCACUGCAAUCUGGCCUAGGCUAAAGAGCGGGACUCCGUCUCAAAAAAAAAAAAAAAAAAAAAAAAGUAAUUUCUCCCUCUUCUACAUUUCUUUUGUAAUUUUCCCUUACUUCUAAUAAAGCAACCAUCACAUUAUAUUUUUAUUUCUCCUGUAAAAUUGCACCAGUCCUCAAAGAAAAGAUCAGAGCAGUGACAAGAGUCAAGUCAGACAUGGUGGUUGCUUGGAAUGGUAUGAUGACAGUGUUGGUGAAAAUACAUGAAAAGAGGUAGAAUUGAUGACUGUGGUGGUUUAUAAAACGUAGGGAGACAAGUUAGAAGUCCAUAUGAAGGAUGCAGUCCUGGAAUGAGGAUGCUGUCAUCUGGGACCAUAAGACAUGAAGACAAGAGUGGCGUUAUGAACUGAAAGGAGCCAGGAGCUUUGUUGGAAUAGAACCACCCUAUUAACCCUGGACUUCCUGCCUGGGCUAAUUUGCAUUUGAGAGAGAAAUAAACUACUGUACAUAAGCCACUGCAAUUUGUUUUCCCACUUGCCGUCAAUAUAAUCCUAACGGAGAGAGCAGACAACAAGGUAUUAUUGAGUUAAGAUGAGAAACAGGGGACAUUAAGAGGAGGUAAAAUCCUUUACUUCCAAAUGUUGCUGUUCGCUGACGCUGGUGAAUAGCCAUGUGACAAUGAAACCCAACCAAAAAUUGAGGAGCCAAAAUAAUAGAAGAUGGGUGAAGAUGAGGAGGAAAAGCCUUCAUUGGAAGAGCAAGCUGACUCCCCCAUGAC
rnacentral:lncRNA from 10 species